rnacentral:rRNA from 1 species
GACGGAGGAUGCAAGUGUUAUCCGGAAUCACUGGGCGUAAAGCGUCUGUAGGUGGUCAAACAAGUCAACUGUCAAAUCUUGAAGCUCAACUUCAAAAUCGCAGUCGAAACUAUUAGACUAGAGUAUAGUAGGGGUAAAGGGAAUUUCCAGUGGAGCGGUGAAAUGCGUAGAGAUUGGAAAGAACACCGAUGGCGAAGGCAGCUCGCUGGGACGUUACUGACGCUGAGACGCGAAAGCGUGGGGAGCAAACAGG